CCUAUACUCACUUUAUUCAUGUUAUUUGUGUCUCUUUCGAUGUACAAUUUAAUAAGGCUAGUCUACUAGAGAAUAAGGCUAUUAUGGACAAUCAAAAUAUGUAGAACUUUUCACACUUAACAUUUCAACAAAUUAUUUGUAAUCAUGUUGACGUCACAGACUGUUGUUGUUUUUGUCAGUGCCCUUGGGACUUUUCCAUCCUUACCCACAGACUCCAUAGCUUUAGGCGCAGGACCACAUCUGGGUUAAAGGUCGCGCAGAGAAAUAUGUUUCCUUCCUAAAGCGGACGUGUCCUGCUUCAGAGUGCAGCUUUCACCACGCUCUUGUCACCAGUCUGUACGUUGUUUGUUUUCAAGGUUUAUGAACUCUUUCCCCUGCAGGAAAACAAAUAAUAUCUCGAUGUCAUAAGCUGCAAGGCAAGCCAAACCCGGACGACGCUGGGCGAAUUGUGCACCGCCCUAUGGGACUCCCAAUCAGAGCGGGAUGUGAUAAAGGGACUGUAGUGAAGCCUCUUGCACUGAGAUGCAGUGACUUAGACCCGCUGUGUCACUCGGGAGCUGAUAUUUAUAUGUUUUAUUGUAUGUAUUGAUAUGUGUG
rnacentral:lncRNA from 1 species